rnacentral:rRNA from 1 species
UACGUAGGGGGCUAGCGUUGUCCGGAAUCAUUGGGCGUAAAGCGCGUGUAGGCGGCCCGGUAAGUCCGCUGUGAAAGUCGGGGGCUCAACCCUCGAAUGCCGGUGGAUACUGUCGGGCUUGAGUACGGAAGAGGCGAGUGGAAUUCCUGGUGUAGCGGUGAAAUGCGCAGAUAUCAGGAGGAACACCAAUUGCGAAGGCAGCUCGCUGGGACGUAACUGACGCUGAGACGCGAAAGCGUGGGGAGCAAACAGGAUUAGAUACCCUCGUAGUCC